AUCCAGUUGAUGAGUCCUAAAUAGGACGAAACAUGAGCUCUGGAU
rnacentral:hammerhead_ribozyme from 1 species